rnacentral:rRNA from 1 species
CAGACGUGCGCUGUGCAAUUCAGCUCUGGUUCUCCAGAGUGUAUUUUGUACUAUUGCAGGCCAACAUCGGUUUUGCGAGUCGGAUAAAGGUUUGAGGAAUGUGGCACCUUCGGGUGUGUUAUAGCCUCUUGCUGAAUACGGAUUGCGAGACCGAGGGACGCAGCGCGCCGUAAGGCAAAAGCUUCGGCUUUUUCGCGCUUAGGAUGUUGGUGAAAUGGCUUUAAACGACCCGUUCUUGAAACACGGACCAAGGAGUCUAACAUAUAUGCGAGUGUU